AUGGGACAUCUUAGCUUGUUUUGACGGGAACACAUGCAUCAAUGUGGCAUCUAUUGCAAGCAGUGUUUUGCUCCUUCUAUGGAAGCAAAAAGCCCCGGCCAGCGCGAUCCUAUGCGCCGGCUGCUGCCAUAGCAACCCGACGCUAGGAAGCGUGACGUCACCCAAAGCGGAACCCGGAAGUCCAGGGAGCGCGAGGGAGACAGAGUGGCCGGCGGCGUCCGUCCUCACGUGUGGUUGGCGGGGUUUCACGGUUUAUAAGACAACCAUCUCUGCCUGUCAUCGAUUUUGUUCUCUGGUAAUUAUGUCGCACGGAGGGGGUGAGUGUCUGCUGCAGCCUACAACAAGGAACCCAGGAGUGGGAUGUGGUCAGAAUACCAACAGCGGAAUAUCGACGGUCAGAAUCGGGAUUUUGACUGUCUGGAUGCUGCUGGCAGCAUCCUGACCAUCGGGAUACUGACUUACCGGAUUUCAUACGCAAUCAACAGGAGGAGACCUGUCAAGAGAUAAGCAGUCCGGAUUCAUUGGACUCCAGAUCACUCCAAACACUGGGGAUCCAAGUCGACCCGAGCCACGGCUUGGGUGUUCCCUCCAGACUCAGAUCCCACGUCAAGGCCGAACGUCAUCCUCCUGGCGUCAGAUUCUCGUGGGACCUGGAUUCUAUAUAAGGCACCAUGGCCAGGACUCUGCGUCAGUUCAGUGUAAUGGACACUGCAGUUUGCUGCAUUAUACUCUGCUGUAGUGGGUGUACUGUGUCCAGAGUCUCACAAGUAGCUGUGCUGUAUAAUGACUGUGUAUAGGGGCAUGCUGGACACUGCCAUAUGCUGUGUUAUACUCUGCUAUGCUGGCUGUGCUUUGUCCAGAGUCUCACAAGUGGCUGUGCUGUGUAGUGACUGUAUAUAGGUUCACAGCGCACACUACUGAAUGCUGUGCUAUACUCUGCUGUAUUGGCUGUUUUGUGUCCAGACUCACAAGGGUGGCUGUGCUCUGUAUAGUGACUGUAUAGGGGUCACGCUGCUGUAUGCUGCGCUAUACACUGCUGUAAAUUUUACCCUAGUGCGCUUUGUUCACGUGCAUCUGUAAGCCCUGUGAUCCAUGCAGUUUGAAUCGAAUGGCAAGUUUAAAAACAGAAAAAUAAAAUUAUUUCUAUUGUU